rnacentral:rRNA from 1 species
UACGUAGGGUGCGAGCGUUAAUCGGAAUUACUGGGCGUAAAGCGUGCGUAGGCGGCCAUGCGUGUCUUCCGUGAAAUCCCUCGGCUUAACUGAGGACGUGCGGAAGAAACUGCAAGGCUUGAGUCCGGGAGAGGGGGGUGGAAUUCCCAGUGUAGCGGUGAAAUGCGUAGAUAUUGGGAGGAACACCGGUGGCGAAGGCGGCCCCCUGGACCGGUACUGACGCUGAGGCGCGAAAGCGUGGGUAGCAAACGGG